rnacentral:tRNA from 1 species
ACUUAGAUAGUUUAAUUUAAAACCUUAAUUUGUGAAAUUAAAAAAGUCCAUCUCUAAAAA